rnacentral:rRNA from 1 species
GACGAACGCUGGCGGCGUGCCUAAUACAUGCAAGUUGAGCGCUGAAGGUUGGUACUUGUACCAACUGGAUGAGCAGCGAACGGGUGAGUAACGCGUGGGGAAUCUGCCUUUGAGCGGGGGACAACAUUUGGAAACGAAUGCUAAUACCGCAUAAAAACUUUAAACACAAGUUUUAAGUUUGAAAGAUGCAAUUGCAUCACUCAAAGAUGAUCCCGCGUUGUAUUAGCUAGUUGGUGAGGUAAAGGCUCACCAAGGCGAUGAUACAUAGCCGACCUGAGAGGGUGAUCGGCCACAUUGGGACUGUGACACGGCCCAAACUCCUUCGGGGGGCAGCCAGAGGGUAUCUUCGGCCAGGGGCGGAAGUCUGACCGGGCAACGCCGCGUGAGGGGAGAAAGUUUUCGGGUCGUAAAACUCUGUUGGUAGAGAAGAACGUUGGUGAGAGUGGAAAGCUCAUCGAGUGACGGUAACUACCCAGAAAGGGACGGCUAACUACGUG